UCGGGAAUUUUGGGCAAUGGGCGAAAGCCUGAUGGAGCGACGUCGCGUGAUGGACGAAGUGCUUCGGCACGUAAACAUCUUUUAUGUGGGAUGAAAUUAUUGACAGUACCACAUGAAUAAGGGGCUCCUAACUCUGUGCCAGCAGGAGCGGUAAUACAGAGGCCCCAAGCGUUAUCCGGAAUCACUGGGCGUAAAGGGUGUCGAGGCGGUUGUAUUAGUCGUUCGUAAAAUCUACGAGCUUAACUUGUAGGCGGCGAACGAAACGGUACGACUUGAGGUUUGGAGAGGUGCGUGGAACUCACGGUGUAGGGGUGAAAUCCGUUGAUAUCGUGGGGAACACCAAAGGCGAAGGCAGCGCACUGGCCAAAAUCUGACGCUCACACACGAAAGCUAGGGUAGCGAAGAG
rnacentral:rRNA from 1 species